ensembl:lncRNA
AUCCAAAUUCCAGGAGGGUAAACUUUCAACACCACGUCAUACUUCAGCAAAUUUACACAGAUAUUAUAUUGCGUCCCUUUCCUUCCCCCCCCCCUCCCCUCCUCUUCCCCCCCCCACCCCCCCGCUUCUCCUUUUGAGCCAUUGUGCUUAACUGAAUUUUAUAAAGCUGAUCGAUAUCUUGGUAAAAUAUUCAUUUUUAAACUAGCGGCCAGCGAAAUCUUUGCUUUGUGCUAAAGUCAACAGCCGCCCGCUUGCGGCUCCCAUAAAUGCGGGGAUGCUCCCGGCUCCCGCAGAGCGGGCGCGGCGGCGCGGGGCGCAGAAAUAGUCCUAAUCCUAUAUUUCGGCCGGGGAAAGUCCGCUUCUGCUCCACACUAGAUUAAUCCAGAAACCACAUAAAACCAGCACGGGGGAUCAGUGUCAAGGACGGAUGGGGCCAACCUCUGAGCUGUGCUGAGCGUGCUGCUGCCGUGUGUGCAUCCCCUAUGAAACCCCAGAUCCCCAUCUCUGAUUGCCUCUUUGUGUCUGUACUUGUGUGCAAUACCUGCGUUACGCUUCAGUAGACUCGGGAGCGGACAGAAGUGCUAUCUCUGCCUCGAGGAUAUUUGAGAAGAUGCUUCUCCGGGAUGGAUCCUUUUAGGAAAAAAUAAAUCGUUAAAACACUCCGGGAAAGCUGAAGAAUGAAUGAAUUUGUGGAGCUUUCUGAGGGAUGCACAUCCGUGCCAUCCUAAGGGUGAACACUCAUCCCACCCUGCAGGACCCCAGCAAUUGCCAUCCAGCACUGAGCCAUGCUACGGCGCUCUGGUCCUCCAGCACAUCCCUCCCUUUGCUGUUGCUCUGCACUACUGCAAAAUUACAGACUGGAGAUGGGGGGCUGAAAGCAGCAGCUCUGCUUCAGGGUGGCAGUGGGACGGGGCAGAAGGUGAGGCUGAUACUGCAAGAGGUUGCCAGGACUUUCUGUUCCCUCCGGGUCCAAUCUGAGGCGUCAUUAGCAAACUAAUAAACUGGCUGCAGAUGUUGAGCCAACAGCAGGCACGUUCCUCAGGAGCAUCCCUGCUAACUCUUGGCUUUGGGAAGCAAUCAGCUCAUCCCUGUGUUUCUCUUUGUGCCCACUCUCUGCCCCACUUCUUCCCUCCUGCCUGGAAUUUUAGGAGAAAAGAAGAAAAAAUAGAAACAGGAAACAAAGCGGGAGCUUCCUCAAAUCAAUUUUUUCAAGUUGAUUUAUUUUCUUUAUAUUGCAGUGGAUGGAGCUCUGUGGCCUUACUGUUUCUCUCGGAAAAUAGAAGUAUUUGUGCCAGUCACAGCAGUGCCAGCACAGAGGUGGCUCUGGCAAUUGGCAAACACCAAUGCCAUACCCAUACCCCGCUGACCCCACCAGAUCCCUCGUGGCCGAAUGGUGUGGGUACGGCAGUAGCGAUGCUGGAGGAGGCAGGCGCUGCCCUGCAUGGGGCCGGAUCUGGGUCCUUGGGGGCAGGAAUACACCAGGGCUGGAGUUUCAUGGGGAAUAGGAAUCCGCCGUGCCCAGGUGGGGCUGCGGCUUCUAAAGUGCCUCUUAAGCUUUCCUGUAUCCUGCUAGCGAGGGAAAAAACUCACAAGGGGAUCCUGCCUGUUCACCUAGCCCUGAAGGGAGAAAAGAGAGGGAUCCCCGAGGCUGGGAGGGCUGCUCUACCCCAAAGCCCAUCUCCAGGCAGGGGGCCGAGGGAGAGGCAUCCUGCUCGCUUCUUUCUGCCUCUAGCUCUGCUUUUUGUGCUGCCCCAGGUAGCGGCCCCAGCGCAUCCCCUGCCGCGGCAGCGCUGUGCUGCACGGAGCAGCACAUUUCCCCCGAGUUACUUAUUAACCACCGUUCGUUUGACAGGAUCGAUAUUUCAAGCUAGGGAGUAAACACUUAAGAAGUAAUGCUCCUCUCUGCUCUCUUUUUCCUCGGCAAAAUGAUUUAUUUUAUAAAAUGCAUCUGCCUGGCAGGGAGGCUGGAGCCCCGUGGCUUUUAUCCGCGGGAUAUGCAAAGCGCAUUUAUUUCGUCUUUUAUCUCUCAUAUUGCGCGUUGAUCCCAUACAUAUAGAUUGAUUUUGUUCAGGUAGAUAAUGAAAAGUCAAGUGGAAAAUUUACACAAAGGCACUCAGGAUCUCCACUUUCUAUUGGUAUAUAAAUUGGUUUAUUACUUCAUUCCCUUAAACAGCGACUUUCACGCUGGGGAACACUUUAAAAUAUAUCAUGUUUAAACACAGAACCAUUUACCUUCCGUGUGGUUUCUCUCUUUCCAUCGGUAAUUUCCUCGCCACUUUUGCUAAUUACCGAAGAUAUUUGUGUUUAAACAAGGGCCCCACCAGCAGCAAUCCGUCUCCCUCCUCCUCCUGCUCCCAGCAUCAAACCACCCCAACCAGAGCUCCCGGCGCUGGGCACGGGGAUGGUGACAAAGCCUGGCAGCGGGCUCUAAUUCCCCGUAAGCAGCUUUGGCUUCGCCACCCCAAGGCAGUGAAUGGAGGGCACUGGACGGGAGAGCGCAGCUCGGAACAAAACCGGCAGGAAACGUUAUUAAUAAACAUCUUCUGGACAUUUGGUGGCUCAUCUAGGCUGCUCCAGCUUAAAGCAAUUAAUUCAGGAUACUGACAUAAACUCUCCAGCUCUUUGACAGCUUGGAGCUGAAAUAAAAAUGCUAGUUCUCCAGGGAAAAGGAGAGGAUAGUUGGCUCUUUUCUGGACUGUUUGCUUAUAGGCCCAGAGAGCAAUCUUCCUUGCAGAAUGAAAUGCAAGGACACAAACAAUGUACCGGAGAGAGAAUAGAAGAUGGGAAUGAACAGUUUGAACUAUUUGCUCAGCAGAAGGGCAGCCACAAUGCUCAACCAAUGGCUUUCCCAUGCAUCAACCGGGCUUCUUAGGCCCUUUUGUUGUUCAUCCUCUUCCUCUGACCAGAUAAGAGCACAGCUGCACGGCCGUCGACUUAGCCACGCAAAUCUGGUGCCGCGCGGAGCCGCGUCCCUGCGGAGCUCGAGGACAAGGUGACACCGGGCAGCGGCACAUCCAGCAACCCCCGCAUUCAGUGCCACCUCCCCACAGCCAGGCUGCUGACCCCUGCCCUCCCCUUGCCCCCUUCCUGCCUCCGUUGCCCAUUGCCCAGGUGGUGCUAUGCUGCUCCGACCCAAACGCCAGCUCCAACCGUGAUGCUACACCGCUUCGUGCCGCCCCAGGCUGGGAUUCGGUGAGCAAGGCUGGAACAAGGUUUGUUUAGCUUGAAAGGGUUUGACGAGGUGAAAAGGCAAAGCGCCGAGGACUAAAGAAAACGCCUGCCUGGCUGAGAUCACACGGAGCACUCGUCGUCAAAGAGCACACCUGCAGGAAGCACCGAGUUUAAACACUGCUGUCACAAAAACCUGAGAAACCUCCGGGUAUUUCAUUGUGGGCUUUUUUUUUUGUCUCUUUUCCCCCUUCUCCCCUACUGGGUGGUCAGGAGAGCAGGAGGGCUCCCAUUGUCUGCAGAGCUGACCCCACGUGUCCCUGCCAUGCCAGCACCUGGCCGACACCGCAACGCCCCAAUCCAGCCCCAAUCUCCAGCCCAGCGCCCGGCAUUGGGCUGCUUAAUGAGACCCUAACGAGGUGCUCAGCCUUCAUUUCCAAAACGCUGCGACGCAGACAAAGGGAAAGUGCAGUCAGCUCCGAGUAAUUUGUGCCGCGCUCCCGGCGAAUGAAUUUAGGGGAGCAAAUAUCGUUAUGCGGGAUUUAAAUUAAAGUUGACACUAAUGUAAAUACGGCAAUGCAACCGGCUGUUUAAGAAGUGUGAUGAGGGUACAGUUUUAAUCAGGUCCUUUUAACUCAGGUGGCAUUUUAAAUCCUCGCCGGUUCAUUUGGAUAACAGUCCCAGAGGAUGUCCUGGAGUGGGAUGGUGAGGGAUGGUUGUCCCGGGAGCUCACCUGGUGAGCAGUGAAUGCAGUGUUGGACGCUGCAGAUGGAUGGACCCCCCCUGCCAAGGGCUGGGUAACAAAGGCAGAGGCGGCAGCUAAAAGGGUUGGUAAUAAAUUCUUGCGGGGUCGGUCAGCGCCUGCCAGAUUUCCCCUGGCGCUCUUGAACAAUCUGCUUCCAGCCUAAAUCAUAGAGCUGAGGCUUGGGGGAAAAAGGGAAAAAAGAAAAAAAAAAAAAAAGAGGAAAGAGCGGAGACCGCCUCACCUACUUCAAAGCCUGAACAGCGCAGAGGUGCUUCACAAUAACAAUAGCACUGGCUGCAGCCUGGAGGAGCUCCAUAACAGGAGCUCUGUAACCUGGCAAGACUCAGAGUUACGGUUACCAGAACAAUAUUUGGCAAGGGAAUUCUCCUGGUUCAUUUUUGUCAAAGGGAACAUAACGCCACUGGCAGGGAUAUGGUGCCAGCACGGCGCUGCGUUGGGUUCAGGCUGCAGUAGUGCCUGGCUUUUCUGGGCAGAGGGUUCAAUACCUAAUAGUAAUAAUAGUAAUAAUAAUCAUAUCACCAACAUCCACUCUGGGGAAGAAAGAAACCUUCUCUUGAGGUUUUCAGACAGCUGGCUGCCUCCAUGCCAUGCGUGCAGGAUGCCCGUGCUGAGCUCAUGUGAAGUUGAGGGUUAAGGUGGGGGGUAGGGUCAGGGCCCCACGUUAACCCAGAGUUUCUCUGGCUCCCGGCCCCACUCGGAGCUGCAGAGCCCUGCCGGUCCCUGCAGGGUAUUGCAUCUUCUCGGAGCUGUCCUAAUCCCCCCGUGUGACUCAGCGCUGUUAAAAUACCAAUGAGAAUAAUAAAAUGGGUUAUAAUGCUAUUAGGUAUUCCCCUUAGCUAUCCUGGCUACCCAAGGAGGAUGGAGUGGGAUGGGGAAGGGAGAGAGGAUGCAAUGGGCAUGGGCAAGGGAGGAUCCUGCAGCUGUCCAUUGGGCUGGAGCUAGGAUUUGGGGGAAGGAAGUGGCUUCUUGCCCGGGUUUUGUUCUGUGGAGGAUCCCCAGGUGGGGUGAUCCUACCCGCAGCCCCCCCCCCCCCCACCAGCCCCUGCCCUUUGCACAGAUGCCUAUGUCCACAAACCCCCCCUAAGCACUUAAUGAGCUCCGAGACGCCUAUUGUCUUGGCAAAGCUGAUUGAAACGGGCGAGGAGUUCAAGGGUUAGGAAGGGAGGGCUGUGUGGAGGCAGACACCCGGUGACACCAGGCUGCCCAGCCAGCAAAUGGGCUCUGCAGCAGCAUGGCACACACUGUGUCCAACACCCAUCACAUGCCAACAUACUGCUGGGUGCUGAGCCCAGACUGUGCGGCAGCUUAUCUGCCUUUAGCACAAAGCUGGGACGAAGUCUGCAUUGCCCAACGCAGAGCUGGAGUGGGCCUUGGACCCAGCCCUGUGUCAGCAGACCUCCCGGCCCUGCUCUGCUCGCUGACAGCCAGUGUUUUUUUACUCCUUGAGACUGUCAGGAAUGUUUUUCAUGCAGGAGUGUAGUGCAUUCAGCAUACUGAAACCGCCUUAAUCUCAGCAAGACCAACAAAGAUAAGGAAUAGCGUUUAAGUUGGCCGAAAUUAGCAAAUGCAUCUGCUGCACAAUGCCCCUGUUACCAUUAGCUGUGACCGGUGAAUGGCACUAGCAAAGUAUGCUGGCAAUGUUUAACAAACCAUCCGUCUUUUACCUGUUCCUACUCAACAGAAACCUUUGUUUGAACCACGGGCCUAUUCAGUCCUGCUGCUGUCUGCUUAUCAGCAAGAUUAAUCUCCGAGGUAUCACUAUAUUAAUUUUAAAACCUGCUUUUAUUACCACGAGUCCUCUGCUGGGGUGGAGAGGAGGUAUUUCUGCCCCUGCUGGGCAAGCUGGGCUCCGUGUUUGCCAAGCUCCACUGCCACCAUGACUCAUCCUUGCUACAUGCACCCAUGUCACAGUGCAAACACAUCCUGGCAGAUCUCUUGCCACAGGCCUCACGCUCUUUUUGGGAGGACAUACUUUCCAUAUCCAGCAUGCCUCGCAUCACCAAGGACAGUGGCUUGGUGUAGCAUCCCUGUGCCCUUCUGCUGCAGCAUCCCUGCUGCAGUGCGUCUCUACACAUCCCUAUUACAGCAUCCCCGAGAAUCCCUGUGCAUCCCUGCACAUCCCUACUACAGUGUCCCUGUGAAUCCCUGUGCAUCUCUGUGCAUCCGUGCUGCAGCAUCCCAGUGCAACCCUGUUGCAGCAUCCCCACAAAUUCGUGCACUCCCCUGCAGCAGUGCAUCCCUUUGCAUCCCUGCACAUCCCUACUGCAGCAUCCCUGUGAAUCCCUGUGCAUCCCUGCACACCUCUACCACAGAAUCCGUGUGCAACUCUGCACAUCUCUGUGCGUCCCUGCUGCAGCACCUCUGCAAAUCCCUGCUGCAACAUCCUUUUGCAUCCCAGAUGAAGCAUCCCUCCUGCAGCAUCCCUGCACAUCUAUGUGCAGCGUCUGCAUGUGCCCUGGCAGCAUCCCUGCUGCAGCAUCCCCACGGUGUCCAAGCAAAGCAGGUUGAGAAGCUGCCCCCAUGGCACAGAGGGGUGCAGGGGGGGAACCUGGUGUGGUUUGCCAUCAGGAUGGCAGCUGGGGCCAGCGCAGGCCCUGAAUUCCUGGCUGAGUGCUGUGCACACAGCGCUUAUCUUGCUCGGCUGUGUUUGUGCAGCAGGAGCCAGCCUGCACUGUGGGGUGAGGGACACGGCCGAGCACCCACAGAAGAACAUAGGGCAGUCCUGGGAAUCAAAUCUCUCCCAUCUUUAUGCACCGUGAGCAUUCUAGGGGUAAGGAGGGACAUGGGGGUCGGCACAGGGUGGUGUGGGACGCGGGACUGCUUCUCCUCACACCUUGUCCUCGCCAAUUUCCCUGCUCCAUGCCCUGGAAAAGCCACUGCAAAGCACAGUGCAUGCAUCCAGGCACCGUGAGGCUGCAGCAGGGCAGUGCAGGCAGGCAGCCUGCUGAUUCCCCGAGCCAAAGCUCUGACAAGGCUUUUCCAUGCCACACAUUCCGGGCGGUGUCUGCAUGGCGUGUCCUGGCUCUGCUUGGCAGCCAGCUGCCUCUGUGCAGACCACGGGCACUGGGACGUGCAGGACUUGAGCUCGCAGAGGGCACCCAGAAAGAAGAGGAUUUCCACCCCAGCAAGGGAGAAGCGGCCCCUUCCCCUUCCUCUGCCUAAGCUAACUCUUCUGCUAUGUCCAAUAACAGGCAGUCGGAAACCCUGCCUACACUGGCAGCAGACAGAGGCUUCCCUGUUUGGAUUCGAGAUGGGGAUUUCUGUGGCUGAAAGUACCUUUGUUAUUUUUCCAGGAAGGCUUCCUUUUUGGCUGGCUUCAACUCUGCAUAGGAUGCUCGCAGCGAAUUGACUGCCGUGAUGAAGAAGGAAAAAUAUUUAAACAAGCAAUUAUGAAUGAGCUUUGCUUGCUAACUCAGAAAGCAGUUUCCUAAGUUUAUAUAGAAAUGUAAGAGAUCUACCUUCCAGGUCCAAUCACAGCCUCAGGAGUUCUCCUCUUAGAUUAGAGCUUUGUGGCCAGCAUGAGCUAAAAGAGACUAAAGGGACUAAUCCUGGCCUAUCUCUGUGUGCAAACCGGGGUCGAACCUUCUCCCGCUUCCCCUUCUGCCUCUCUGUCCAGUGUGAGUUUUACGGAGCAGGAUUUUCCUCACCUGGCACUGUGGGGGCCCGAGCCAGUGGUGGGGUGACCUUGGCCAUUUCUCCAGAUGUGGCUCUGUCGCAUGAUACUACGGUUCCGGGCUCCCUAUACGUCCUUGAGAGCGUUAUCUGGGUGAGUCACCACUAGCCGGCCUCUGAAAUCUGUGACAUUUUUGGCAGUUCCCUCUUUAAUCUAAGAGGAGUAUGGAGCCAAGUGGCUCAGUCACCAUAUCUCAGCAAAAGGAGACUGAAAAGCUUAGGGCUGAAUUCAGGUUGGCUGAUAGGAACAGUUUAUUUCCUGAAAGAGCGGUGAGGCAGUGGCACAGCUGCCCAGGGAGUGGUGGGGUCACCGUCCCUGGAGGCAUCCCAAAGCUGUGGGGAUGUGGCACUGCAGGACGUGGUCAGUGGGCACGGUGGGGGUGAGCUGUGGUUGGACUCGGUUAUCUUUUCCACCUUCAUGAUUCUAUGACUCUAUGAUGGUUCUAUGAAUAGCUCAUUAAUUUCACGCUGCACACACUUCCAACCCAGAGGGAUGCUGAAGGAAGCCCAGGUUUGUGCAACCUUCUGCGAUGCCUGGCUGCACCUCCCUGCUGUGCUGGCAGCAUCGGCAGCUCCAGCCAUGUUUUCCUCCCCACACUACAUGAACACAGACAGGAGGUCCCCUCGGUGAGCUCACUGAUGCAAUUCUGUCAGCAUCCAACCCCGGCGAGGAGGAGUGAAAUGUGCUGUCAGUCUCUGCCCGAGUCAAGGGAAAGGUUCAAGCACCUUGAAGUUUGACUGUGAUUCUCGUUGAAGCCAGCACAAAUCAUCUUUGCACAGCAGCUUUAUGGAGGCCUGCUGACCUGCCUGGCCUUUACGCUGAGGGAUAGGUUUUUCUACUCAGUGCUGGCACAAACAACUGCAUUUAUUGGCCAAGCCAGACAACAGAAUAGCAGUGCCUUGCUGCUCUUAGGGAGGACGAGCAUUCUCAGUCUCCUUUGUAAUCAUGCCUUCAUACAACUGGUUCCCAAGCAGUGCAUCUAGAGUCAUAGAACCAUGGACACAUAGAAUCAUAGAAUCGUGGCAUCAUAGGAUCAUAGUAACAUAGACCCCUGGAAUCAUGGAAUCAUAGAUCCACAGAAUCAUAGACCCACAGAAUCAUAGACCCCUAGAAUCAUGGAUUCAUAGACCCCUAGAAUCAUAGAAUCAUAGAACCGUAGAAUCAUAGAAUCAUGGAAUCGUAGAACCAUAGGCUCACAGACCCAUAGAAUCAUGGAAUCAGAACCAUAGAACCAAAGAAUCAUAGAAUUGUUGGAGUUGGAAGAAACCUUCAAAGGUCACCUAGUCUAAUUCCCCUGCAAUGAACAGGGAAACCUGGGUGCAUCAGGGCAAACAAACUGGGAGAAGAAGCACGAUGCAGAAAACACGCUGCUGGCAGCCAGGACUGGGGGCGAGUAGUGCAGCCUGCAUUCCUCCCCGCACAUACAUUAUUCACUGGGGAUUAUUUGCUCAACCCCGAAGUGCGCGCACGCAUUGACAGCUGCUCGUGGAUACAAAGCAUUGCAUUGAGAUGCCCAAUAUGGAGCACAGGGCUUGGAUCUGGAGCUGGGAGCCCUGGGUUUUGUCUACAGGAGGGGAUAAAAGUGCCUGAACUGGGAUCUCCUGAGCAUGCGCUGCACCCAUGGGUGUUGCUCGGGUGUGCACACAGGGAUGCCUAUGUGCAUAUAUGCAGGGAUGCAUUCAGACAUGGAAGCAGGGACAUGCACACACAUAUAGACAGGGAUAUAUAUGCGUGUAGCUGUGGUUGAGGGCAAGUGGGACGAAAUCUUCAGGCGGGCCAUGAAACAGGGAGGCGUGAGCCAGGGCGCUCAUUAGUACCUGGGUAUGACUGCCGCUGACCUGAUGGCAAAUAUGAAAUAUCAAAGCGCUUGUCAGCACUCCUGAAUGGGACAAAGAAAAGGCGCAUUAAUGAUUAACUCCGUUAAAAGCUCAGGCUUUUUUAUUCCCAUGGCGCUCGGACUAUCUCGCUGCCAUGUGACAUGCUAGGGCCAUUUUCUAGCAGAUUGGGGAAAGCUAGUGAGCAAACACAGGUGCUUUAGAGUCAGCAGCGCUGUCAGGGACAACCACAAACAACACCAGCUAUGCCUGCCUAAAUUAGCUCCUGUGUUUGCCUCCAUUUUUGCUUCCUGGAGAUUUUACUUUCUAAGUCCAAUGUCUUUCGCUCCCGUCUUCAACUAUUCACACGCAGUGUUAAAGGGGAGAAAGAAAAGAGAAGAAAAGCGAAAACACACAGAGAGGCUCCUCUUUGAACCAGCCACAGUGCGUGGGGACCGCAUGCAGAAAGGCCCGAGUCAACUAAUUAAAAGGACUCAGCUCUUUAACUGCAAAAACAAAACACGUUUGUUGUGCUCAAGUGGAAUUAUUCGGGUGAUCCUCGGCAAACAACGAGCCCUGCAUGCAUGCGGUGCUGCUGCUUGCAAGCUCCAUGCCGACACCGCGGGUCCCAUCGGUGCCACUCGUGGAGGCUGUGUGUGACCUCUCCUCCACCGUGGUUCAGUGUGAAGGUCCCUCUAGCGGUAUUAUUUGUUUUCAUUUUUCCCUCCUUCCAUAGCCUGAAUGAGACAGACUUUCUUUUCCUGUUCAAAUAUUUAUAUAUGUGUGUUAUUGGGUUGUGCUCAAACUCCUUGCAAUCACACCGGGGCAAUAAAGAACAGACUAUCAGCGUGCGGUGAUAAAGGUAGUUGUGAGUAAACAGCAGAAAAUGAAAUAAAGUUAUAAAGAAGAAGGCCUGGGAUGGUAUAAAUGUCUACAAAUAAUCACAAUAUCAACCUGCUCAGUAUUCAAGCAAUUAAGGACAACAGGAGCAAAGCUGUGCUGGAGCUGUUCUGAAUUUACGUAGUCCCUGGUCCUCACAAAGUGAGCUCUGCAAGCAGUGGGAGAUUCUGGAGUUUGAAAUCAGCAUCUGGAUCUUGAACCAAGGACAUCCAUUGCAGAUGCAGUGUGCUUCACUUGGGGGGGGGGAUUAAAAUCUGUGUGUUUAGCGAGAUUACGCUUGAACUGGUCCCAAUUUAUUUUGCCAAAUUGAGCUGCAGCCAAUUUCUCUCCCAUGCGAUGAUGAAUAAAUAUCAUUAAAUAGGAGAAGAUGAAGGCGAUUGAUGCCCUUGUAUUAGCGGGAACUAACAUCGUGUGCUCGAGAAUGAAAGGACAAAAAUGGAGAGAUUUGGAUGCAAAUCAUUCAAAUGAGGAGGAUUAAGCAUGAGGGUACGAGGGAGAAUGGGGUCCAGAACACCAAAUGCUCAGAAGUGCAGGGAACUGCUCAGGAUUCAUUUCCCUUUGACCCAUUACUUUUGGUUUACAGGGAGCAAAAAUUCUUCCCUGUGCAGAAUGGUUUGAUUCGAGGCUGUUCUAGCAUAGGGCUGUCACUUGGAUCGUUUAUUAAACCGUCUUAAUGAUCACUUACUAAGAAAGCACACAGGUUGAUAUUUCCUACUAUGACACAGUCAUGGAAUCACGCAGGUUGGAAAAGACCACAAGGAUCCCCAAGUCCAACCAUCAACCCGUCCACACUGCACCCACUAUCCAACUAACCACGUCCCUCAGUGCCACGCUACGAUUCCCCCUUUUCCUGCAGUCACAAAGGAUCAUGCAUGGGGUUUUGCAGCAUGUGAAGGUUGGGGUCUGCACCCAGGGAAGUCAACCCUUGGUUCUUCAAGGCAGCAGUGUGGCUGCCCUGGCUGCCUUUUGUUUGCCAUCCCAUCCCAGCGCCAUUGGGUGUGCUUGCAGAUGGGCCCAGUUGGCUUUUUGCUGCCCUAUAAAACAGGAGGGAAAAAAAAAAUAAAAAAAAAAAGGAAGUGAUACUGUUGCAAUCAGCCCAGUGUGUGAUAAAGAUUUAUUACAGGGAGAAAGCAAAUAAAGGUAUGGUAGGAACUUCUUUAUUACCCGUAUCGUGAUCGCUUAUGUGAUCAGUGACCUGGAAUACAUUCAAAUUCAUGUUAAAUAAAAGCCUAAUAGAAUUUUUUUUUUUCCCCUGCAUUCUGGUGACAUGUGGUCAGCAGGAAGAGCAGCCAAUCGCUGUGUUUACCCACUUCCUGCUUUUCUGGAAAGUCAACAGUUUUUAAAGGCUUAGGCUGGCGUGGAAUUAAGAAACUUGCGCCGGUUUAACUAAGGUCGUUGGCGGACAAACGGGACGCAGGGGUGGCUUUGUGGAAGGGUUUUCCGUGCCAAGUUUGGCCUGUCCUGGGUUGUCUGCUGGGAGGAGGAGGAAGAAAAGGAGGAGAAGGAGGCCGGAGCCAGGGAUAGGUGUAGAGGUUGGUCCUGGUCGUGGCACCUUGGGGAGGCACCAAGUGGCUGGGGUCUUAUCAGCCCAACCUUGGAGAGCUUUCUUCUUCCAGUGGCUCAUCCAUCACUAGUUAACAGGGUACCCCUGUAAGGCUGCCUCUCUUUGUGCUGUAUCUUUAACCUCCCGCCAGUCAAUACCCUUUGUACACAUGUAUCUCGUUUCCUGAUAAUGCAUUGUAUUCCUUCGACCACCAAAAGCACUGGUGGGGUGGGAGAAACAGUUGUCUUAGAUAAAGAGCAAUUAGCACCUCCAGGGUCAGCCUGGAAUAUAUUGUUAAAGAAAAUGGGCCUGGAGGGAGGCUGGUGGAAUUCCUCCUGGCUGGAGAGAAUCAAAAAGGCUCCAGGUAAUUCCAAAGGAGCCUUUCUGGUGGGUGGUUGAUGUGGCCGUGCACCUCUAGCACCACACAAACCAGUUUCCUCAGGUCUCUGGGAAGAGCCAUGCAUCUUCAUUUAUAUGUUAAUUUGCAUUAAAUAAAUGUCACCAUAAACAAAUUGUAUCUCAGGAGAAGGUGGAAAACAUAUGGGUGUUUGCCAGCCAGGGGUUAUUAAUUUUAUACUUUCCAUCUGGAGUCUAUAAAGGGUCCAUUCGGAGAGCCAAUAAAGACCCAAGGUCGCGGCUGCAGCGCCACGGAAACCUUGCAGCUGGAGCACCUGCAGGCAUCUGCUGUUGUGGUGAAGGUGGCAGGGAGGGCCACAGCAAGAUGGGGACACUCCAUCGGUCCUGGAUAUCACAGCAUGUAAAUGUCUAUGCAAAUCUGUUACUAGGAGGGCUUGUGCUCCUAAGUCAUUUGGGCAAGAUGGAGAAGUCAGCCCUGAACUCAAAGCAGAGCUCUGAUGUUUUGAUUGAUUUAUUUAUUCAUAUAUAUUUCUUUUUGCAGAAAGCUUCUUUACUUGUUGCUAGAUUAAGGGAAAGCUAAUUUAGUGCUAAUUUAGUGCUGCUGUGAAGAACAUCUUGGGGGAAAAGUUGCUGCGAAUUCAACACAAGUUGCCCCUGCUGUUCCUGUCUGGCCUUCCCAGAGCCUGUAAAGUGGGAAAAGGAUUUAAAUACCGGUUUUCCUUUUGUAAUUGGAAUAAAGUGGGUCUGCAAGUGAAUGGGACAACAGGGUGCAAAGUCCCUGCUCCCCAGCACUCAGGUUCUGGAUGGA